UUUAAAUUCACUGCCCAACUGUGGAUGGGCAGUUAAUGCUAAUGAAGAGGGCAAUUGGGCACUGGACUGGUGGUCUGGUGGUACAGUAAAUCCCUACAUCUGCUGACUACUGAGAUGAGCAACUGGCUGAAUGGAGCAAGGCCUCACUGAGUUCAGUUGACACUGGCAGGAUGGAUUCUUGUACUCUUCAUUAGAAGAAUCAGAGAAAGGCAACCUGGAACAAGAACAUGAUUCUUGACUGUUAUGCUGAAGAACAAGGGAGAUAGCAUGUGAGAGCCAGAAAUUCCAGGCUGAUUCACACAGAAGACAAAGCUCUGAUGAUAGCCUAUCCUUGGUUCAUUGACAGGAUCCUCCUUACAGGAAGAACCCCUGAUCACCCACUUUCAAGAGUCAAUUCUGUACCUGUGACCAUGAUAACAUUCAGAGACCACAAGUCUAAAGUGCAGUUCUUAAAUAGGUCUGUUUUCUGGCCUUUUUAACAAGAUAAUUUGAAACACUGAUAAACAACUAAAUAAAAGAAAGUAUUCUUGUUCUGA